GUGCCAGCAGCCGCGGUAAUACGGAGGAUCCGAGCGUUAUCCGGAUUUAUUGGGUUUAAAGGGAGCGUAGGCGGAUGUUUAAGUCAGUUGUGAAAGUUUAAGGCUCAACCUUGAAAUUGCAGUUGAUACUGGACGUCUUGAGUGCAUUAAAUGUGGGAGGAAUUCGGUGUGUAGCGGUGAAAUGCUUAGGUAUCACGAAGAACGCCAAUUGCGAAGGCAGCUCAC
rnacentral:rRNA from 1 species